UGCUGUUUUCACGGGCUUCCUCCCUUUAGUGUGAGCUUAAGAAUGUAUUUGGUCAUGGAAAGCAGCUUAGUUCAAUUUCAGCGCUCUUGCUGUGUUCAGUUUUUCUGUUUUGAAUGUACGCCAGCACAUUUGAAUGAACAGCGAUGCCGGUUGGUCAUCCGGCGACCAGCAGCUCCUCUCUACGGGUUCCUACCCAGCCUGGGACGGCCGCGCUCAGGAGCCGACACCCGAACCUGCUGGACACCCUCCUGGCCCAUCUUGGUCCGGGCCAUCGUCAUCCCUAAGCGAGGAAUGGAGGGACGCCUGCAGACCCCGCAGACCCCCAGGAGCUGCAGCUCACCGGGACCUGCUGGGAAGUCCUGCUGGAGCUUGGAUGCGAGUGUGGCCGUGCUUCUGGUGACCCUGGUUGGAGCUUUAUUUCUGCUGAUGCUUUACAAACUCUUACAGCUGAGACACAGGCUGAGGUUGGCCGGGGCGAGGAACGCGCUGGAGUACCACAGCUUCCACCACUCCGCCACCUACACGCUCAGACACGCCGCGUUGUUUGAGGACCUGGCGAACAAGAAGGCCCCCGACCCCGAAGCCGCACCUGAGUCCAAUCAAACCGCUACCACGGUGACAUGCGCAGUCAUCAAACCACUUCCGCCCCCACUGCUGCAUUCUCCGCCCCCUCUGCCGCUGCCCCCACAUCCUUUCCCGCCGCCCCCGAUGCACCAGAAUCCUCCCACCCUCACCCUCACCCCUUCCGUCUUGGCCUUCGCUCUGCCCGCGAUCCACACCAACCCGCCAAGUCCUCACCUGUCGUGGGGCGCGUGCUCAGACGCAGAUGUGUACUCUCGGAUCGGAGCGUUCAGGCCCUCCAGGCUCUCCAGCCUCUCCAACCAAUCCAAAGUCAUCCUUUUCGAGCACUCGUCUCUCUGACUUUUGAGGCAGAACAUGACUGGAGACGUCGAAAAGACUUCAUAGCGAAUACCAAAAACACUGCUGACGCAUGUAUGCAUGCAUUAUGCUGUGUGCUCAUCUCUAAGUACUGCACCUUGUAUCAGGACGCUGCAAAAUUCAGGAGCAACACCACUGUUCUUAUGCUUUUUUUCUAUUGGGGAGUGGAGUUUUCUUCAGAAUUCGGACUAGUGGACGAACUGCAUGGAGGUUAUGUACUCAAAAUAUAUAUAUUUUCUCACUUGUUCUGGGGGUUGUAUUAAAAAGUUAUCGCUUACAUGCUCUGCUUGCUCAUCAUUGACAGCCUUACAACCUCCAGUAUUAUCUUUUCAACAUUUUGGUUUAUAGCAACUUUAAGAAGGCAAUGGCAGUGAUCUGUAAGGUUAAAGCAUGUCAAGGCCUCAUGUGCUACAACACCGACAGUGAUGCAGAAUCACAGCUAUUGCUCUUCUGCUGAAAGAUUCCCUUUAGCCCAAAAUCAGCGAGGAUCAUUCCUGAUGAAUGAGAAGUCUUGUGCAAGGAGAGGAGUGGUUUAAUUGGAUAGAUACUCACCAUCCUGAUGGCUUUUUUUUAUUGGGUCUGGAGCUUUCCUUAGAGUAGAUAAAAGCCCAGAAAUGGUUAUUGUGAGAAUGAGAGUGGGCAAAUUGACCCGACUUCUCUUAUCUAAUUACUUAUUUAAGAGUCAGUGAUGAAAGAUGAGUUGAUGAAUGAUGACACAAGCGUAGAGAAACCUUAUACAAAGUUCAUAUGGUGUAAACUUGGCCAAACUUUCUUACUUAAUUCAAUGCUCCGCAGUCAAUUAUAUUUUUGUGGGAAAGUCCUGAUGUUUGAAUUGUUGCAGAGUCCAUUGUUUGACUGAAUGGGGCAUUUCCUCAGUCAGUUUUCCAUGCACGUCCCUCCCUUUUUCACACUGUCCUCCAUUUCCUCUGAUUCUCUCACUGGAGCAGUCUAUCAGUGUCUUAUAUCAUGACUCAAAAGAGCUUUUUAUAUUCAAACAACUGCUCCAAUCUCAGACAUUAAUUUUAAAUAGUUCAUUCCUCUUUGUAACAGUUUAAGGAAGAUAGAAUUGUUGAAACUGCAACAUUUGAGUAGUGUAUCAUUGUUGACCAGACUAAGACAUAUUCAGAUCGUCCUCUAAAGCAGCCCAGCCGGCACAACGGUAACCUCUCUCCGUUCUGUUGAUCCGACAGCCUGAGCGUACACUAACAAGCUGUUAAAUUGCAUUUUUGUCUUUUUAACAAUGUUUUCCCAGCGAGCUUCUCAUUUAUAAUUCAACAAUAGUUUGUAAAUUCAUAAGGGACCUUGCUGUUACUUUCCGCUGAAAACCGAGACCUCGUGUGCCAUUCCUCCUCCUCUUCCUCCUCCUCCAGUCUCCUCUGUAUCAAAGUCCGUUAGCGAGGCCGCUGUCUCCUUACUAAAAGCCAGUUAAUCCAAUCUGUGCAUGUACCGCAGCAUUGUCUCUUAAUUGGUUGUAAGCUGAGCAGGAAAGGCAUUUCAACAACAUACAGCUCCUGCAAUUAAAGAAAACAAAAGGAAGAUGGAAGGGAUGAAAAUGAAUGUCUUUGCCCUGGUUGACUUUUCCAGUUUAUCCUCGGGAUGCUCGUCCAGCACACGUCUGUCCGAGCGGGGAGGAAGAAGCAGACGCAGAAGGGUUCUGUGUUCCAUAGAUUGUGGAUAAAUCCAGACGUGUUAUGGAUGUCAACGUUCUAAUCUGCUGUACCAGCCAUUCGAAGCAGUUCUACCUCAUCCGGAAUAAUUACACCUUACUAGAAAUGGAAAAAAACUCUCUGCUUCAGUCUAGUCAGAGGUAGCAGGACUUUGUUGAUCUGUUGAAUAUGGUGAGCUGAUGGUGCGGGCGGACGCUGGGUUCGGUGGUUUGUGUCACUCGAUUACAGCUGAUAACAGCGACAGUAUCAUUGCAAAAACGUAUAAAGCUGCACCCUUGGGUUCCCCCUCAGGUGAGCACUGUUAGCUCUAUCAGCACUUUUGCGGUUGAUUAAACUGUGCGGACGCGGCUGAGAGCGGCAUUUAGUAAACGCCGUGUCCUUGUUCCUGAAAUGAAAGUAACGUUGAACGGAUUUGUUUGAAAGUUGACACACUGCUGCCUCAUAAAUCUGAUCCUGACUGCCUAUCAAUGACUUUGUCCCAGAAGCACUUGACUCAAAUUGCAGAGUCUUGGUAAUUGCAUCUGCCCUCUUCUCAUCUCCUGAGAGGAAAUGGAAUUUUUUUUCCAAUUUUCCGUCAGUGUCGGGUCCCCUCCAUGCUUCCAAAACAACUUAUUGGCUUGUUGCUUAGUGCUGUGAAGUGGAGGCGAGCGUUUUGAAGCCUGGAGUUUGGUGACUUUGCCUUCCCCGUCCUGAAUUUCGUCCGUCACCAUGCUGUUAUUUUUAUAGCAACCACUGAAUGGAGUUUACUUUAUUCAGAAUGCUGAAUGGUGGCAUACAGGCGCCGUAUACGCCUCAGCUGUUCUCGUAUGUGACUUAUGGUCUAUUUUACUCUAAAUGGACAAUGAUGUACUCAAUGAACAUUGCGCUAUGUUGAAGCUUUGAAACUAGUAAUCGAGGCCAUAAACUCAUGUUUACAAUGUUUACUGAGAUCAGAAUUCAAGUGAGAAUUUGGGUUUAAAUUCUGAUUGACUUCAAUUAAAUCAGACUUCUUUUGCCAACGGAGGCGCGAAGGUUGAAACACAUGACAAAUGCGUAAAAUAACUGCUUGUGCUGAAAGGGAAUUCAACUUUUUUAGUUUGUUUUUGUUCCCACAUAUGUGGUUAUAUGCGGUCAGUGGAGUUGCUCAUAGAGACAUGUUUCAUAUUUAAUCAUACUUGAUCAAUUUACUAAAUAUGCACGGGCCGGUUAACUAAACAUCUCUCCUGAGGUUGUUUAUAGAAACGUAAAUUUACCAAAAAAUGUUCCAUAACUAAAUCCUAAAUGUAGUUUUGAUCGUCCUUGGCAAAGAAACAUAGUUCUGAACACAAAAUGAAAACACUUAUUGAGUGAGGACAUCUAGAAUUACUUUACCAAGUGACACAAUUUGCUGUUUUCAAUCGAUGUGUGCGUUUGGUAUUUUAAAGUGUUGUAAUGUUAUUUAAACCUUCAAAAUGUAAAGGAAUUGAACACAGUGGGUUACUGAACAAAUCUACUCUCGCAGAGAUACUCACUCGUCCAUCAUCAUUGUCCCACUACUACAUCAACAGUGUUUUGAUUAUAUAUUUUAUUCUUCUGCUUUUGUGUCUACACAUGUGAGGUUUUUAAACUGGAAUUGGACAGAUAAUUGUCAGCAAGAUGAGCAUGUUUAAGUCCCACCACAGUGUCCUAGAGGAACUAUAUUAUUUACAUCCAAGGUAGGGCUACUGUUCAUUGAGUACAUCAUGGUCCAUUUAGAGUAAAAUAGACCAUAAGUCACAUACAAGAACAGCUGAACCGUAUCCGUCUAAAACAUGACGUAACAAACCGUGACGGUAGUUUAGCCGCUCUUCACGCGUGCUCAGCAAAAUACUUUUAUAAUCAAUGGAAAUAAAGAAAUAGAUACUAAUUUGGCCAGAGACAGCACAAAUGUCGCUAAAGGCACAGCUCCAUCAACUUGGAUAUUAGUUCUUCUCUCAAGGCUUUAUAUAGGUUAAAUGUAUUUAACGUACAAAGAUAAAAGUAAGAAAGAGCUGAAGAUACCCCAGAAAAAUACCCCAAAACAAAUUUGAGUUUCUGGCGUGAGCUAUAGAGUUGGUACGUUGGCAGCAGAUGAACACAAACUGCAAAAAACACUCGUGGCACACGUGGCAAAAUGAUUGUGGUAAAAAAUAAAAGGGCAAAAUGUGCAAAAUGUGCUUCGCAACACAGGGGACCAGUAAUAAAGCUAAAGAUGUUAAGAUUGUGCUGAAUGUAGUGCGAGAGGAAAGGUUAUGAGGUUAUUAAAUCUGACCUUCAACUGCAAAAUGUAUGGAGUGGCCACAAUCCGCUGUGAUAUCUUUUUAUAAACGCGUUAAGUUGGCAGGUCCAAACAACAUUACUGUCCUGCUUUAGUAAGUCAAACAAAAACACACCCUCAAAUUUCCAGUAAAGCAUAUUUAGUGCUUGUUAGUGGAUAUUAGUAGGAGACAACAUGCCACUUGUCCCCGUAUGUAUGAACAGUAAAUAAACAUGGAAUGGAUGUGUGUCACACUAUUGUGGUUAUGAGCACAUGCAAGUGUUGAGAGUAGCAGCCUCUUGUGGCUACAGGGGAAGCAUUGCUGCAUGAAAGUAAAAAGUAAGUAAAACUAUUGUAAAGGAUAAUAAGUAUAAUAUAUAAAUUGUUGUCCUAUACUGUGCAAAAUAUACUUAAAAUGUCCUAUGGCUGUAUAAAACAAUAUGUUUGUGACAGGCUAAUGUUGGCUAAUAAAACAAAUGAAAUCCUGUGAUAUUGUUAUUUUUCAUGGGUAGCUUAGCUAAAUAACCCAGCUAAUUAUUUCUACGUAGUCAUUUGGCACUGAGGAUAUUUAUUUAAUUAUUUUUGUAUGCUUUUAUUUCGUUAAUUAUUAGCUUUACAUUUUGUCUGGGCAAGCGACUGACAAGCCCUGAAUAGUUUGGCAGCCAGCAAAACUUCAGAACUGUCAAUUGUUCAGGAAAACGUGACUCACUUCGAAUGCAGAGGGUCACGAAAAUUUUAAAAAAAGACAAUUUUCCGUUAAUUGAGUUUAUUUCCAAAAAUGUUUAUUCUCCUCAUGCAUUGAAUUUCUUUUCUUUUAAGCGCUAUUUAAAAUGAAUAAUUGUUUCAUUUUCAAACAGAACAAUCUGCAGCUCCUGGUCCUUCUGUUCCUUUGAGCUUGUUCACAAAAGCGAUGAAAAGGAAAAGACGAGGACGGCUUUUCUGGCUGCUCGGCUGUGAAAGCCCGUAUCUUAAUUCUUCUGACAGCAGCACCCCAUCGGCGCCUCCGCAAGGGAAACAUGACUGAAUAGUCCAAGAGUGUACGGAUGAAAAUGAAUCCACACUCUUAACCUCCUCCAAUAGACAGGCUGAUUACAGCCAAGUGCUCUCUGCGGCAGUCUCUCAGGGAAUGAGCCACGCAGCGUAACAGUGUGAGACGUUCAUAUGGUCCUGCACAUUCCACAGGUGAAAUGCUAAAUGCCUUAACAAGCAGGUGAUGUUGGUCCUCAAGCUGAUGUUUUGAGAAAUUGUGUUUUGAAAUAUCACUUUUCAAAAAGGACUAUUGGUGACUGUUGGUUUCGAAGUGUGACCGUACUACAAGAAAAUGUUGUUCAACUCAACUGACAUUUUUCUUCAAUGUCUUCAAUAAUUACUCUGUGAUAUCGACACGUUUGCACAUGCUCAGAGGUGUGAGCAGUCAGCACUUGAUAUAGUACUUUACUUUACUGUUAGCCAAAGUAUUUUACAGCCCAACAACAUAUUUUAUAAAUACUUAGCAGUUCAGUUACACUGUGGAAAUGGUGAUUUAAUUUGACAACUGAUGGUUUUCCAUCACACAUCCAUCCAUUUAGAUGACUGCCCUGCAACAGAAAACAAUACAUUACUUGUUAUUUAGGUGUCUGUUAUCUGACUGCUCAUGCUACUUGUCAUGUUUGGGACCGUACACAUGCUGUAAAGAUACCGAGGCCCGGACCUGUUUGUUUGGAUUAUGGUCCUUUAAUCAAUUAUUUAUUCAUUAUUUGUUUCAAUACAUUGUGUGUGUAUAAACUCCCUCCAGGUUAGACCAUCAAGUCCAAGAAAAGACAUUAAGACUUGAGUUCAUAAUCCUCUUUGUUGACUGCAGCACUGGUAAUGUGUCCGUAGAUCUCGGGAUCAAACACUUACUUUAACCAAUUACCUUUUAGGGGACAGGCCCUCAUUCCCUGAAGGAAAGCUUUGUUCAACUUCAUUAUAAAUCCUUGUGGACAUUUGUAUCUGUCUAAUUGCAGAUAUGUCAGGCUGGAUUUGGGGGAUAUGGCUUUGGAAUUGAUGCUCAAGAAAUACAGACAGCCUUGAAUUAAAACUUUUCUUUUAAAGUUUGCAUCAUAGCCUCAUUGAAGCAAGCUGAAAUAGAACAAAGGCGUGUGUGAUCCUGCCAGACGGAACUGAAAAGGAUCAGUCAAAAAAACCUUUUAGGGUUACUUAUUGGAAAAUAAAAGGAACUUUAAAAAAAAAGUUUGUGGCACUCUUUUCCAGAAAGGAUCACAGGACACGGACCCGCUGUGCAUUAGCAGUCGCUGCGUAACACUCCAAGCCGAAGAAGAAUGAAAAACACACCUGCUUAUUGUCUGCGGUAGCCAGCUGUGGGCCCCUCACACACACCUCUGUAUUCCUGCCUAGCAGCGGGCCUUUGAUCAGGUAAUUGCCCCUCCGGCCCCCGGAGUUUGCAUCCACCAUAUGUCGCUAUGGCGACCACCUCUCCAGCAGCUAUCCGCGCGCCCCCUUCACAACCUUUUUAAGAUGGACUUAUACGUUAUGAGCCUGUGAGUGAUGGAGGAAAAGGGCAAAUAAAUUACGCAACAAGAAGUACCUCAACCACGUCAACAGCAACCUUGUUUGGUGAAGGAAGAUUUUUUUUUUUCUUCUAUUCAACUGCCCGUCUGUUAUCCCACCCGGCAGACCCCCACCCCUAGAAUGAUAAAUGGC
ensembl:lncRNA